GAUUAGAUACCCCACUAUGCCUAGCCCUAAACCUUGGUAAUAUAUCACAUACCCUACCCGCCUGGGAACUACGAGCACCAGCUUAAAACCCAAAGGACUUGGCGGUGCUUUAGACCCCCCUAGAGGAGCCUGUUCUGGAACCGAUAACCCCCGUUCAACCUCACCCUUCCUUGUUUAUCCCGCCUAUAUACCGCCGUCGUCAGCUUACCCUGUGAAGGCCUAAAAGUAAGCACAACUGGCACAACCCAAAACGUCAGGUCGAGGUGUAGCGCAUGGAGGGGGAAGAAAUGGGCUACAUUCCCUAUAUUAGGGAACACGAACGGCGCACUGAAACACGCGCCUGAAGGAGGAUUUAGUAGUAAGCGGAAAAUAGCGUGUUCCGCUGAAAUCGGCCCUGAAGCGCGCACACACCG
rnacentral:rRNA from 1 species